rnacentral:rRNA from 1 species
AUUGAACGCUGGCGGCAUGCCUUACACAUGCAAGUCGAACGGCAGCGCGGACUUCGGUCUGGCGGCGAGUGGCGAACGGGUGAGUAAUACAUCGGAACGUACCCUGUUGUGGGGGAUAACUAGUCGAAAGAUUAGCUAAUACCGCACACGACCUGAGGGUGAAAGUGGGGGACCGCAAGGCCUCACGCAGCAGGAGCGGCCGAUGUCUGAUUAGCUAGUUGGUGGGGUAAAGGCCCACCAAGGGGACGAUCAGUAGCUGGUCUGAGAGGACGGUCAGCCACACUGGGGCUGAGACACGGCCCAGACUCCUACGGGAGGCAGCAGUGGGGAAUUUUGGACAAUGGGGGCAACCCUGAUCCAGCAAUGCCGCGUGUGUGAAGAAGGCCUUCGGGUUGUAAAGCACUUUUGUCCGGAAAGAAAUCGCGCUGGUUAAUACCUGGCGUGGAUGACGGUACCGGAAGAAUAAGCACCGGCUAACUACGUGCCAGCAGCCGCGGUAA